AGCGUACACGGUGGAUGCCCUGGCAGUCAGAGGCGAUGAAGGACGUGCUAAUCUGCGAUAAGCGUCGGUAAGGUGAUAUGAACCGUUAUAACCGGCGAUUUCCGAAUGGGGAAACCCAGUGUGUUUCGACACACUAUCAUUAACUGAAUCCAUAGGUUAAUGAGGCGAACCGGGGGAACUGAAACAUCUAAGUACCCCGAGGAAAAGAAAUCAACCGAGAUUCCCCCAGUAGCGGCGAGCGAACGGGGAGGAGCCCAGAGCCUGAAUCAGUGUGUGUGUUAGUGGAAGCGUCUGGAAAGGCGCGCGAUACAGGGUGACAGCCCCGUACACAAAAAUGCACAUGCUGUGAGCUCGAUGAGUAGGGCGGGACACGUGGUAUCCUGUCUGAAUAUGGGGGGACCAUCCUCCAAGGCUAAAUACUCCUGACUGACCGAUAGUGAACCAGUACCGUGAGGGAAAGGCGAAAAGAACCCCGGCGAGGGGAGUGAAAAAGAACCUGAAACCGUGUACGUACAAGCAGUGGGAGCCUCUUUAUGGGGUGACUGCGUACCUUUUGUAUAAUGGGUCAGCGACUUAUAUUCUGUAGCAAGGUUAACCGAAUAGGGGAGCCGAAGGGAAACCGAGUCUUAACUGGGCGUUAAGUUGCAGGGUAUAGACCCGAAACCCGGUGAUCUAGCCAUGGGCAGGUUGAAGGUUGGGUAACACUAACUGGAGGACCGAACCGACUAAUGUUGAAAAAUUAGCGGAUGACUUGUGGCUGGGGGUGAAAGGCCAAUCAAACCGGGAGAUAGCUGGUUCUCCCCGAAAGCUAUUUAGGUAGCGCCUCGUGAACUCAUCUCCGGGGGUAGAGCACUGUUUCGGCAAGGGGGUCAUCCCGACUUACCAACCCGAUGCAAACUGCGAAUACCGGAGAAUGUUAUCACGGGAGACACACGGCGGGUGCUAACGUCCGUCGUGAAGAGGGAAACAACCCAGACCGCCAGCUAAGGUCCCAAAGUCAUGGUUAAGUGGGAAACGAUGUGGGAAGGCCCAGACAGCCAGGAUGUUGGCUUAGAAGCAGCCAUCAUUUAAAGAAAGCGUAAUAGCUCACUGGUCGAGUCGGCCUGCGCGGAAGAUGUAACGGGGCUAAACCAUGCACCGAAGCUGCGGCAGCGACGCUUAUGCGUUGUUGGGUAGGGGAGCGUUCUGUAAGCCUGUGAAGGUGUGCUGUGAGGCAUGCUGGAGGUAUCAGAAGUGCGAAUGCUGACAUAAGUAACGAUAAAGCGGGUGAAAAGCCCGCUCGCCGGAAGACCAAGGGUUCCUGUCCAACGUUAAUCGGGGCAGGGUGAGUCGACCCCUAAGGCGAGGCCGAAAGGCGUAGUCGAUGGGAAACAGGUUAAUAUUCCUGUACUUGGUGUUACUGCGAAGGGGGGACGGAGAAGGCUAUGUUGGCCGGGCGACGGUUGUCCCGGUUUAAGCGUGUAGGCUGGUUUUCCAGGCAAAUCCGGAAAAUCAAGGCUGAGGCGUGAUGACGAGGCACUACGGUGCUGAAGCAACAAAUGCCCUGCUUCCAGGAAAAGCCUCUAAGCAUCAGGUAACAUCAAAUCGUACCCCAAACCGACACAGGUGGUCAGGUAGAGAAUACCAAGGCGCUUGAGAGAACUCGGGUGAAGGAACUAGGCAAAAUGGUGCCGUAACUUCGGGAGAAGGCACGCUGAUAUGUAGGUGAAGUCCCUCGCGGAUGGAGCUGAAAUCAGUCGAAGAUACCAGCUGGCUGCAACUGUUUAUUAAAAACACAGCACUGUGCAAACACGAAAGUGGACGUAUACGGUGUGACGCCUGCCCGGUGCCGGAAGGUUAAUUGAUGGGGUCAGCGCAAGCGAAGCUCUUGAUCGAAGCCCCGGUAAACGGCGGCCGUAACUAUAACGGUCCUAAGGUAGCGAAAUUCCUUGUCGGGUAAGUUCCGACCUGCACGAAUGGCGUAAUGAUGGCCAGGCUGUCUCCACCCGAGACUCAGUGAAAUUGAACUCGCUGUGAAGAUGCAGUGUACCCGCGGCAAGACGGAAAGACCCCGUGAACCUUUACUAUAGCUUGACACUGAACAUUGAGCCUUGAUGUGUAGGAUAGGUGGGAGGCUUAGAAGUGUGGACGCCAGUCUGCAUGGAGCCGACCUUGAAAUACCACCCUUUAAUGUUUGAUGUUCUAACGUUGACCCGUGAUCCGGGUUGCGGACAGUGUCUGGUGGGUAGUUUGACUGGGGCGGUCUCCUCCUAAAGAGUAACGGAGGAGCACGAAGGUUGGCUAAUCCUGGUCGGACAUCAGGAGGUUAGUGCAAUGGCAUAAGCCAGCUUGACUGCGAGCGUGACGGCGCGAGCAGGUGCGAAAGCAGGUCAUAGUGAUCCGGUGGUUCUGAAUGGAAGGGCCAUCGCUCAACGGAUAAAAGGUACUCCGGGGAUAACAGGCUGAUACCGCCCAAGAGUUCAUAUCGACGGCGGUGUUUGGCACCUCGAUGUCGGCUCAUCACAUCCUGGGGCUGAAGUAGGUCCCAAGGGUAUGGCUGUUCGCCAUUUAAAGUGGUACGCGAGCUGGGUUUAGAACGUCGUGAGACAGUUCGGUCCCUAUCUGCCGUGGGCGCUGGAGAACUGAGGGGGGCUGCUCCUAGUACGAGAGGACCGGAGUGGACGCAUCACUGGUGUUCGGGUUGUCAUGCCAAUGGCACUGCCCGGUAGCUAAAUGCGGAAGAGAUAAGUGCUGAAAGCAUCUAAGCACGAAACUUGCCCCGAGAUGAGUUCU
rnacentral:rRNA from 1 species